rnacentral:sRNA from 1 species
AAAGUAAUGUAGGACUUAGUGACUACAUUAGUUAAUUAAAACUAUAACAUCGACUGAACAAUAAUUAUAUGUUUGUUGGUCCUUUGGUCGAGACAGAACCAGAAGAAAUUGAGAUGUAUGUAGUGAAAGAGUUGGUGAUAGAACUAAUAGUGAUUAAUUUGUUCAGAGACAGAGUUGUGUACAUGUAAACUAUGAAGAUAAUGUUGGUGGACUGAGAAUGUAUAAAUUUAACAGUGGCUAUGUGGUUAGUCUUUUGAUUUUCUUUAAAAUUUCAUAUGUAUUGAAGAAACAAUAUGUAUUUUCAAGAAAAUCAAAAGACACAGACAACAAAGUUAGUGAUUGAGAUGGAAAUGUCA